rnacentral:lncRNA from 1 species
UGCUGCUGUUUAAGAAAACGGACAGUAACGUUUUAUAUUGAUAGGGCCAUACAUAAGUCAGAAAUUGACUGUGGAGGAUGAAACAAAGCUUAGGAAAGUAUUGGAAUACAACUCCUGGAAUCCCAGAACAGUGUCAUAUUUGAAAUAUUUGAAGUGUUCAGUGCCUAGCAGUUAUUUUAACUACAUUUUCUCACUGUCAGCCAAUCUACAAGAUAGGGAGAUCAGCUUUGAACUAGUAUGCCAUUAUAUUAAAUAUAUAGCUGAAAAUGGCAACUGCCUGUUCUGUUUCAGCUUUGAGAAGAAUGAGCAGACUGCAGUAUGAUGAUGUCAUGAGAUUCCACAGUUAUCUUUGCAGCACAAUAUUGGAAGCCAACGAUAUGGAGCAAGACCAGAGACAUGCAGAAAAUCACCACACAAGUGCAGGGCUGAUGCACAUUUCCCACGAUUUGCCUCCAGCCAGGUCUGACACCUGUAAAGCUUCAAAUGAUAAUGCCACAUUGUGAAGACAAAAGGAAAAUGCAUUGAAGAUGUACCUGAAUGGCAGGAGGAGAAGGAUUCAUAUUGCUAAGUGUCGCUUAGCAACAUGAUAUGUGAGGAAUAUCUAUGAGAGACCCUACCAUGGGCCUGGACAUUUCUGAGUUUUCAUCUGAAUAUUAUACCAUGAUUCUUCCCACCACAAUUACAAUCUGGAUGUGUUUUUUAAAGAAAGAAAAGUGCCUACCUGUAUUCUGAUUGUUUUACUUUGGGUAGAUUAGCUUGACAGGAGAAGAUGCUGUGGCAGGAGAAAAGAGUCCUUUCUUCUAAACAAGGGCUCUGAGUUCACUGCUUAUAUAUGUUUCUUGGACCAAACUGGCACAUUAUCUGCUAACUUUAAAAAAAAAACCUGUUCUUCUAACAUACUGUUUGAAUCCUGUGGGGACUAACAGUUUGGUGCCUUGUAAGCAUAAUAUGCACUCAUCACUAGAACACACUUGUGCAUUUUACUUGCACGUGUGCACAUGUGUUUGGAGUUGUAAUAUCAGAUUCAAUGACACUUAAAAGCGUAUAAAUAGCAUUGCACCUUCAGUACUUGUAAUUCGAUAACAUUAACAUAGAACACAAGAGGCAUCAUGGACUCUAACAAACACUGACAUGGUGUGAGGGAUAUUAGACCAAA